GGGCGUGUAGCUCAGGGGCAGAGCGUUCGCUUUGCAAGCUCACUAGCACAAAUUGCGAAAGGUCUAGGGUUCAAAUCCCUACUCGUCCA